rnacentral:lncRNA from 1 species
CUUAUUUUCAGUGAUGGCCUGUGCCAUGACUUGAGUUCAGCAAGAACUGCCUGCUUGUGCUACAUGUCUUCAGAAAAUAAUGGAAAAAGGGAAGCCAUCUCAGGAAGGAGAAAAACUCGCUUGUCACCUGGGAUAAGGAGAAUCAAAGUUGAAAGCAGAUGGAGAUUGCUACACAAACAGGGAGGAAUACCUGUAGUCGAUGGUCACAAACAUGGUACUUGGGGGCUGCUUCUCAAAGCUAAGGAGCUCCUUUCAGCUUCUGAUAAACACGCAGCUAGAAAAGGUGAGUGUUGUUAUUUGUUCUACAUCUUUUGCAUUAUUGAUGAUUGGAGUAAUUUCUCAGUUUCUUGAA